rnacentral:rRNA from 1 species
UAGGGAAUAUUGGACAAUGGGGGCAACCCUGAUCCAGCAAUGCCGCGUGAGUGAUGAAGGCCUUAGGGUUGUAAAGCUCUUUUACCCGAGAUGAUAAUGACAGUAUCGGGAGAAUAAGCUCCGGCUAACUCCGUGCCAGCAGCCGCGGUAAUACGGAGGGAGCUAGCGUUGUUCGGAAUUACUGGGCGUAAAGCGCACGUAGGCGGCGAUUUAAGUCAGAGGUGAAAGCCCGGGGCUCAACCCCGGAACUGCCUUUGAGACUGGAUUGCUUGAAUCCUGGAGAGGUGAGUGGAAUUCCGAGUGUAUAGGUGAAAUUCGUAGAUAUUCGGAAGAACACCAGUGGCGAAGGCGGCUCACUGGACAGGUAUUGACGCUGAGGUGCGAAAGCGUGGGGAGCAAACA